GGCCAGAAAGUAUUAAGGUUGUACAUACGCUUGCAGCUUGCUGCCUCUGAGAUCUACUUCCGGUUCCGGGUUCUGGAUUUAAAACUGUAGAACCGACUCAGGCCAGCCUUAUUGAGGGCUGCAGAGAGAAUCAAGAAGAGUAGGACUUGGUGGAGAGAUGGAUUCGGCCUUGGCAACAGAGGGAUCAAAUGUAUAUGAUAGAAGGUCUGCUUAAAGAAGCUUUCUGGAUAAAAUGGUGAAACUGUUUAUCUUCGCAGAUAUCCCCUUUGUGCAUUUAUAUACAACUGAUGGAAAAGUGUUGAUGAACUUAAAUUAUGCAUGCAGUUGCUCUGUCUAG